GCAUGGGUGAAUACUGGUUUUUUUUAGUCGGCUUGUAUUUUACACAGCUAGACACCAAGCAAAAAUAAAGUCUUCCUUUUAAAAUGAACAAUGGUAGUCUUGGUUUUUUAAUGGUAUAUCAUUGAUUAAAAGCAAGUACAAGU